rnacentral:rRNA from 1 species
GUAUCCUACGGGACGCAGCAGUGGGGAAUCUUCCGCAAUGGGCGCAAGCCUGACGGAGCAACGCCGCGUGAAUGAAGAAGGUCUUCGGAUCGUAAAGUUCUGUUCUUAGGGAAGAAGUCUUAGGUUGUGAAUAACGACUUAAGGUGACGGUACCUAUGGAGAAAGCUCCGGCUAACUACGUGCCAGCAGCCGCGGUAAUACGUAGGUGGCAAGCGUUAUCCGGAUUUACUGGGUGUAAAGGGCGUGUAGGCGGGGAAGCAAGUCAGAUGUGAAAACCACGGGCUCAACCUGUGGCCCGCAUUUGG